rnacentral:rRNA from 1 species
GCUGGAAAGCUUGGCGAUACAGGGUGAUAGCCCCGUAACCGACGCUUCAUCGAGCGUGAAAUCGAGUAGGGCGGGACACGUGAUAUCCUGUCUGAAUAUGGGGGGACCAUCCUCCAAGGCUAAAUACUCCUGACUGACCGAUAGUGAACCAGUACCGUGAGGGAAAGGCGAAAAGAACCCCUGUGAGGGGAGUGAAAUAGAACCUGAAACCGUGUACGUACAAGCAGUAGGAGCACCUUCGUGGUGUGACUGCGUACCUUUUGUAUAAUGGGUCAGCGACUUAUAUUCAGUGGCAAGGUUAACCGUAUAGGGGAGCCGUAGCGAAAGCGAGUCUUAACUGGGCGCUCAGUCUCUGGAUAUAGACCCGAAACCGGGUGAUCUAGCCAUGGGCAGGUUGAAGGUUGAGUAACAUCAACUGGAGGACCGAACCGACUAAUGUUGAAAAAUUAGCGGAUGACUUGUGGCUAGGGGUGAAAGGCCAAUCAAACUCGGAGAUAGCUGGUUCUCCCCGAAAGCUAUUUAGGUAGCGCCUCGGACGAAUACUACUGGGGGUAG